CCUACGGGGGACAGCAGUGGGGAAUAUUGGACAAUGGGGGGAACCCUGAUCCAGCGACGCCGCGUGAGUGAAGAAGUAUUUCGGUAUGUAAAGCUCUAUCAGCAGGGAAGAAAAUGACGGUACCUGACUAAGAAGCCCCGGCUAACUACGUGCCAGCAGCCGCGGUAAUACGUAGGGGGCAAGCGUUAUCCGGAUUUACUGGGUGUAAAGGGUGCGUAGGCGGACUGUUAAGUCAGCGGUAAAAGCCCGGGGCUCAACCCCGGCGAGCCGUUGAAACUGGCUGUCUUGAGAUGUCGAGAGGUAUGCGGAAUGCGCAGUGUAGCGGUGAAAUGCUUAGAUAUUGCGCAGAACUCCGAUUGCGAAGGCAGCAUACCGGCGGCGAUCUGACGCUGAGGCACGAAAGCGUGGGUAUCGAACAGGAUUAGAUACCCCGGUAGUC
rnacentral:rRNA from 1 species